CAGACCUNUAAUCGGAAAAGACUACCCGCUGAGUUUAAGCAUAUCACUAAGCGGAGGAGAAGAAACUAACCAGG
rnacentral:rRNA from 1 species